rnacentral:misc_RNA from 1 species
GGACUACCGGGGUUUCUAAUCCUGUUUGCUCCCCACGCUUUCGCACCUCAGCGUCAGUACCGAGCCAGUGAGCCGCCUUCGCCACUGGUGUUCUUCCUAAUAUCUACGAAUUUCACCUCUACACUAGGAAUUCCACUCACCUCUCUCGGACUCAAGACUGGCAGUAUUGAAGGCAGUUCCGAGGUUGAGCCCCGGGAUUUCACCCCCAACUGACCAGUCAGCCUACGUGCGCUUUACGCCCAGUGAUUCCGAACAACGCUAGCCCCCUUCGUAUUACCGCGGCUGCUGGCACGAAGUUAGCCGGGGCUUAUUCUGCGGGUACCGUCAUUAUCGUCCCCGCCAAAAGAGCUUUACAACCCUAAGGCCUUCGUCACUCACGCGGCAUGGCUGGAUCAGGCUU